rnacentral:rRNA from 1 species
AUUGAACGCUGGCGGCAUGCCUUACACAUGCAAGUCGAACGGCAGCACGGGAGCAAUCCUGGUGGCGAGUGGCGAACGGGUGAGUAAUGUAUCGGAACGUGCCCAGUCGUGGGGGAUAACGUAGCGAAAGCUACGCUAAUACCGCAUACGAUCUAUGGAUGAAAGCGGGGGAUCGCAAGACCUCGAGCGAUUGGAGCGGCCGAUAUCAGAUUAGGUAGUUGGUGGGGUAAAGGCUCACCAAGCCGACGAUCUGUAGCUGGUCGGAGAGGACGACCGGCCACAGGGGGACUGGAGCCAGGCCUAGACUCCUACGUGAGGCAGCAGUGGGGAAUUUUGGACAAUGGGCGCAAGCCUGAUCCAGCACUGCCGCGUGCAGGAUGAAGGCCUUCGGGUUGUAAACUGCUUUUGUACGGAACGAAACGGCGAGCUCUAAUACAGUUUGCUAAUGACGGUACCGUAAGAAUAAGCACCGGCUAACUACGUGCCAGCAGCCGCCGCAG